rnacentral:lncRNA from 1 species
CUUGUUUUAUUGCAGGUUGGAGGAGAUUGUCCAUGUCCCACAUGGGUGAAGAAAGAGGAGCCUCAAGCCAUUCCAGACCCAGGAGAGCUGCUUUCACCCAGACAGAAGCUUUGGACACAGACACACGGGAUGGCACCGCUGAGCUUCCUGGAUAUUUGGCUUCUCUGCCUUCACAUUUGGCCGAUUCUUCACCACAGAUCAGAGGAACAGCAAGAGGAAAAGGCAAAGCAGCAGCCAGCAAACACCGUCCACCUCUUCCCGGAGACCGGCCAAACGCACUUGCAGAGACUUGUAUCUGAAGGGCCCAUUGCUGGGACGACGUGGAUUUGGCUCUGUGUUUGCUGGGGUCCGCAGGUCUGAUGGACUUUCAGUGGCCAUCAAGUACGUGUCAAAGGACCGGACCCCCGAGAGACUGAGAGUUGACGGUCAGGGUUGGCUGCCGCUGGAGGUGGCAUUGAUGACCCCCGUCACUUCAGCUCCUGUCUGCCCCAGUGUCCUGCAGCUUCUGGACUGGUUUGACCGUGCCAGAUGCUACAUCUUGAUCCUGGAGCGUCCGGAGCAAUCCUUGCCAACAUCUCCAGAGCUUCUGUGAGGAGGACGGCUGUCUGGACGAGCGUCUGGCUAAGGAAGUGCUGGUGCAGCUGAUCGCGGCACUGAAACACUGCGAGAGCCGCGGACGUCAAGCCAGAGAACCUGCUGAUCUCCACAGAGUCCCCGGACAUCAAGCUGCUGGACUUCGGCUGUGGAGAUCUGCUGAAGCACUCGGCCUACAAAUACUUUGAAGGCACUCCUGCAUACCCUCCUCCUGAGUGGUUUCGAAAACAUCACUACAAUGCCACUCCAGCUACAGUCUGGUCAGUAGUAGUGACGCUCUACAACACCCUGUGUGGCUGUUUCCCCUUCAGAGGCGCAUGGAGGGUCAUGUCCAGAAGCAGACUGACCUUCCUUAGGAGCUUGUCAACAGAGUGCAGUCAGCUGAUUCGCUGGUGUCUCAGUGCAGCGCCGGCUGAUCGGCCCAGUUUAGAUGAUCUUGAGCGCCAUCCCUGGUUG